rnacentral:rRNA from 1 species
UACGUAGGGGCCGAGCGUUGUCCGGAUUUAUUGGGCGUAAAGCGCGCGCAGGCGGCCUCGCGCGCCCGACGUGAAAGCCCCCGGCUUAACCGGGGAGGGUCGUUGGGGACGGCGGGGCUUGAGGGCGGGAGAGGUCGGUGGAAUUCCCGGUGUAGUGGUGAAAUGCGUAGAGAUCGGGAGGAACACCUGUGGCGAAGGCAGCCCCCUGGGUUAACACUGACGCUCAGGCACGAAAGCGUGGGGAGCAAACAGG